UACGUAGGGUGCAAGCGUUAAUCGGAAUUACUGGGCGUAAAGCGUGCGCAGGCGGUUUGGCAAGACAGAUGUGAAAUCCCCGGGCUCAACCUGGGAAUUGCAUUUGUGACUGCACGGCUAGAGUGUGGCAGAGGGGGGUGGAAUUCCGCGUGUAGCAGUGAAAUGCGUAGAUAUCGUAAGGAAGACCAGUGGCGAAGGCGGGUCUCUGGACAGUUCCUGACGCUGAGGCACGAAGGUCAGGGGAGCAAACGGG
rnacentral:rRNA from 1 species